rnacentral:lncRNA from 1 species
AUCUUUGGGAAACAAUCAGUCUAGAUGCAGCACAGCUGUGACCAAGAGAGGCAAGGGAUUUUGUUUCAGCAUUUCAUCAGGUUCAAAUCUAGCAUGGAUGGCUCCAGAAAUCUUUAAUGCCAAAUUGAUUAGGUAAAAAACUGCUUUAACCAGCAUUUUUGAAGACGUCAGACACUUUCAGUGUGUCAAGUUCACACAGGGUGCUGCAAUCAAUCAACUCAUCCAUCUGAUGAUCUAUUCUCUAAAAAUGGAUUGUGUAGCACAGUUUUCCUCUUGUGAGGGAACCUCAGUUUUACAAGCCAGAAAAGAAGGGAGCAGUUUCACAUAAGAAAGCCCUUUGGAACCUUUACUACUAAAAAAGAAACAGUUACAGCCACAAAAGGGCUUUGCAGCCUAAUGCAAGAUGAACUGUGUGGGGA